AUUAAACGCUGGCGGCAUGCCUUACACAUGCAAGUCGAACGGCAGCACGGGGGCAACCCUGGUGGCGAGUGGCGGACGGGUGAGUAAUGCAUCGGAACGUGCCCUGAAGUGGGGGAUAACGCAGCGAAAGCUACGCUAAUACCGCAUAUUCUGUGAGCAGGAAAGCAGGGGAUCGCAAGACCUUGCGCUUUGGGAGCGGCCGAUGUCGGAUUAGCUAGUUGGUGGGUAAAGGCCUACCAAGGCGACGAUCCGUAGCGGGUCUGAGAGGAUGAUCCGCCACACUGGGACUGAGACACGGCCCAGACUCCUACGGGAGGCAGCAGUGGGGAAUUUUGGACAAUGGGCGGAAGCCUGAUCCAGCCAUGCCGCGUGAGUGAAGAAGGCCUCGGUUGUAAG
rnacentral:rRNA from 1 species